UAAGAGCUUGCUCUUAUGAAGUUAGCGGCGGACGGGUGAGUAACACGUGGGUAACCUGCCCAUAAGACUGGGAUAACUCCGGGAAACCGGGGCUAAUACCGGAUAACAUUUUGAACCGCAUGGUUCGAAAUUGAAAGGCGGCUUCGGCUGUCACUUAUGGAUGGACCCGCGUCGCAUUAGCUAGUUGGUGAGGUAACGGCUCACCAAGGCAACGAUGCGUAGCCGACCUGAGAGGGUGAUCGGCCACACUGGGACUGAGACACGGCCCAGACUCCUACGGGAGGCAGCAGUAGGGAAUCUUCCGCAAUGGACGAAAGUCUGACGGAGCAACGCCGCGUGAGUGAUGAAGGCUUU
rnacentral:rRNA from 1 species